AACUAGGGCUGCUAAUCUACACAAAUAUGACUCAAAAACACUAAACUAGGCUUGAAAACACUUAACUAGACACUUAAGACUUAAAACUAACUCAAAACACUCAAAACAGCAAAACUAAGUUAAAAAGACUCAAAACAAACUCUGGGGAGCUAUUUGGACGAAUUUAAGACUAGUAAGACUCAAAACACUAAAUUGGACAGAUUUAAACACUUUUCUAACUAAUCUAAGACACUUAAUUAAAAGGGGGAUUGAUUUGGACGAAAUUUAACUAAACUAAACAGAUUGCAAAACAAAAUAAAUUAGGUGAUUUGAAUGGUGAAAACUUAGCCAGAGGAUCCUUCUCCACACAUGACAUAUGCAUAUAAACCAAUUUCCAGUAUUGUUCCCUUAGACUAUGAAUGACAACACCCCAAGUUAACCGUGACAACACAAAUUAACCAUCAGAUUUUCCUUAAACCAUUGAAUUGGACGGGAUACGCAUCACAACCAAAUUAUCCUUCUCAAGUUCCCUAACUAUGAAAAGCAUGAUAGAAAAACAUAUCAAAGGUCAUUAAGUUCUUUGAAAACCAUAAGCAUUGACGAGGCAUUCGUAACUAUGAAAAGCAUGAUACUCCUGCCAAGGAUUUACUUAACACAAUCAUGACUAGUGACUCCCACUACUUAUGAAUAUAAGUUCAUAACGAUUAGGUGAAACUCCCUUAUACUCUAGCAUCAAGUUUAUGCACGCAAACUAAGUAUGCAUCCUCAAUCAACAUACAUAUACAAGUUUUAAUAAAUCAGAAAAGCAAAUCACAUUCAAGACUCAAGAAACAAUAACUGGGUGUAAUCAAUUCAUAUAAAACAUAUAAUCAUGGCUUCGAAUUCACCUCUAACUAAAAAGAGAUUAAUUUCUCAUGUUCGCAAUUAAACAAAGAUAACUUAAAUUAGACAUUGAAAAUAAAAGAUAGAAAACACCUAAGAGUGCUUUAACAAUCCACUGUCUUGAAUGGCAAGCACAACUCCAGGUGGCUCAUUCUUCUCUUUCGUUGCACAGCUGCAGCACAAUGGGAUUAAUUUUUGGUGGAUGGUGUGGUGAUCUGAUGGUAGAGAGUGGUGGUUUGAAUUGUGGCAGAAAAUAUGUAUUUAUAGGCUAGGGUUUUGCGCAAAGUAGUGGAGGAGAAGGAUUACACAAUCCUAGAGGAAUAGGACUAGGAAAUUCAGUACAAAGCUUCUAGAAAGGGAUUAGAUUCGUCAAAUUUCUAGGGGAAAAAGGAUCAGGUUAUUUGCAUUAUUUCAGGGCUUCUAGAAUCAGAUAUUAGGUAUUCUAAUGUGAUCCCCUUGCAACUAGAAUUAAGGUAAGAUAGGAUUAUGAUAUGAUAAGAUAAGAUAAAGUUAGUUUGGAUGAGAUAGGGUUGGAUAGGUUUUGGAUAAUGUUUCCUUCUUUUGAGCUGAUUCAUUAUCUUCUUUGUCUUGGAUUUAUUUCUUCAACUCUUUAGCACAUUCCUUGACAUCUUUGGUCUUCAAAUUCGUCCAUCCAUCUUGCUCCACUCAUAAGCUAUCCAUUUGAUGCCCAAAAUUGCUUUAAAAUGCUCCAAAAUGCACUUUCUUGCCAACUUUGUCAUUUGGACCUACAAACACACGAAAAUAACUUAAAACACUAUAAUAAGUAGAAACUAGCUAUGAAAAUGCAAGAAAACAAGCUAACUACGUUGCAUAAAUAUGCUUCUAUCAGCAAGUUGCUAACAGGCUGCCGGUUGAACUU
rnacentral:lncRNA from 1 species